rnacentral:lncRNA from 1 species
AAACGGGAACAGGGAAAGGUGCUAAGAAAUUAGAAGAACUUGGGGAGGACAAAGGACGUUUGGGCGCUGGCUUUUUGAAACGGCGGUUUUGGGGGACGGGGGCAGAGGAGUGGAUCAGGGGCCGUAUGCUUCUCCGUACGCUGUCGCUGUCUCCAUACGGGGGGUAUAUAUCCGUAAUUCCGUAUGUGGGGUCGCACGGGGGGACCGAGCUUCGUCGUCAAAAAAAGAAAAAAAGCCGACACCCUUUUUUUAAGCCGGCGCCUCGACGCGCCGUUUCCCCGGCGUUUAUUGGUUUAAGCGUCGGAUCCACGCCGUCCGUUUGAUUGCCUUUUUUUUGUUUUUUG